GACGAACGCUGGCGGCGUGCUUAACACAUGCAAGUCGAACGGAAAGGCCCUGCUUGCAGGGUACUCGAGUGGCGAACGGGUGAGUAACACGUGGGUGAUCUGCCCUGCACUUCGGGAUAAGCCUGGGAAACUGGGUCUAAUACCGGAUAGGAGCCAUUUUUAGUGUGAUGGUUGGAAAGUUUUUUCGGUGUAGGAUGAGCUCGCGGCCUAUCAGCUUGUUGGUGGGGUAAUGGCCCACCAAGGCGGCGACGGGUAGCCGGCCUGAGAGGGUGGACGGCCACAUUGGGACUGAGAUACGGCCCAGACUCCUACGGGAGGCAGCAGGGGGGAAUAUUGCACAAGGGGCGCAAGCCUGAUGCAGCGACGCCGCGUGGGGGAUGACGGCCUUCGGGUUGUAAACUCCUUUCGCUAGGGACGAAGCUUUUUGUGACGGUACCUAGAUAAGAAGCACCGGCUAACUACGUG
rnacentral:rRNA from 1 species